rnacentral:rRNA from 1 species
CCUACGGGGGGCUGCAGUGGGGAAUUUUUGGCAAUGGGGGAAACCCUGACCAAGCAACGCCGCGUGGGUGAUGAAGUAUUUUGGUACGUAAAACCCUUUCGGCAGGGACGAAGCGAGUGACGGUACCUGCGGAAGAAGCUCCGGCCAACUCCGUGCCAGCAGCCGCGGUAAUACGGGGGGAGCAAGCGCUGUUCGGAAUUACUGGGCGUAAAGGGCGCGUAGGCGGCCGGACAAGUAAGUGGUGAAAUCCCCGGGCUCAACUUGGGGUCGGCCAUUUAAACUGUGUGGCUGGAGUGCAGGAGAGGGCAGCGGAAUUCCUGGUGUAGCGGUGAAAUGCGUAGAGAUCAGGAGGAACACCGGCGGCGAAGGCGGCUGCCUGGACUGCGACUGACGCUGAGGCGCGAAAGCUAGGGGAGCAAACAGGAUUAGAUACCCCAGUAGUCA